rnacentral:lncRNA from 1 species
CUCAAUCAACUCUGGUGUCCUCUUACUCUCUUUCUUCUAUACAUCAAUGCUGUCAUAUCUAACAAUACCUUUUCUUAUGCAGAUGAUAUAAUUCUUCAUUCUUUCCUAAUAUACCCCCAACCAUCCACACACAACAUAUACACCAUAUGUCAAACCUGCAUUGAUUCCUGAAGCAAAGACAUCAUUCCAACAUUGUUUCUAUCAACAGUAGACAAGCUCAAGUACUACUCAUAUCAAGAAAGCCCUACUAAACCAAUCUUCCUCAAAACAUGAUGUACUCUGCUAGAAUCCUCACAGCUACUCCUAAUGCUGGACAUCAUUAUUACCAAACAUAUCUCCUGGUGAAAGCAGAUCCCUAGCAUAGAUAGAGCUAUUUCGCAAAUACUAGUCCUUUGCUUUACGGUCAGGAAAUAUUUCAGCACCCAACAGCUGCUGUCAUUUUACAAAGUUCAAGUGAGAUCUACGAUGCUGUGCCGCAUUGACAUAUGGGAUGGUGUUAUUGCUACGUACACAGAUAAACUGAGUGACAUUCAAUCACUAAUAAACACAUCUUAGCUUCGACUGUAGGUGUGCUGCCUUCUCUCUGUGUAUUUUCUAUCGUGACAAUGGUUACUGAUUCUCGGAUUGGCGGGGUCUUGUUCAUCCGUCACUCAGGGUAUCUUCAACUCAUACAUCUCCCUUGUUUCACCUACCAGCAGAUUUCUGCGUUUAGUACCCCCAUGAACCCCUCAUGACUUUUUAUUUUCAGGAAUUUUCUGAAAAUUUUUGCGCAUUUGUGUUCUACACACAGGAAUUCAGACGAUUACGAAAAGAAUUUUUAAUUUUUCGAAUUGUUUAAAAAUCAGAAUUUAAAAUACAGACAGUCCGAACUUUUGCUUAAAUCCCAGCAGUGGACCAUUAAAUGUAUUUAUGAGGAGAAAGAUAUUGAAAUACAAUAUAUUAGCGACAAAGACAAGAGGAGGGUAUCGAGUGGUCGUGAGUUGUGCUAAAAAUAACAGCUAAAUAGCUCUUAAUCCACACAAAAAUUUGUUGUUUUUGCAUAAUCGUACGAAUUCUCGUGUGUAGGAUAUAAAUUCGCAAAAUUUUUCUGAAAAUUCCAAGAAAUAAAAAAGUUAUGAGUGGCUUAUGGGGUGCUUAAACCAGAAUUCCGCCCAUCCACUUUCUCACAGCCACCCACUAACCAUUAUGUUUGAUCCUUUCUCUCUAGAAUAUUGGCUUUUAGAACCUCUCCACCCUGCUUAUAUCUUUCCUGCAUGUGUUUUGAAGACAAUGUCUCUCUUGUCCACUUUCAGCGUAUCUCACUUUCGCAUAAUUGGAUCAUGUGUCGCAAGCUGAGGUGAUAAGUUGUUUCGCUCCGUAAACUGUUAGACUCACGAACUUAUUAUGAUUAAAAAAAAAUUUCCUGUGUAUGUCGACGCAGACCAUUACUAGUUUUCUCUAAUUCUAGUAUUUAUUUUCACUUUCCCAUUCAUUAAAUCACGCAGUCCUGGAUAUUAUGUUCAAAUUAAAGACAAAAUGACUGCGGUUGAAAUAUUUAGAAUUCUAAAAAAAAAUUUGUUUUGAAUUACAAACUGUGUCCACUCUUUAGCGACAAAAGAAGGGGAAAUUAAUUCUCCAGUUUCCUCGUUUAUUAUUUUCCCGCCUUCUUUCGGUUUUUAUAACUAAAACUUGAUUUGCAAGAAGUAUUUGCAGUAAUUAUAUAACUAACUAAAGCUAUUACCUUUGUUUGGGGUGUUACUAAGCGGAAGUGAAAUUGUUGUUAGAGUUGAAAGCUGUAACACUUGUGAUUGCGGAAACGUGAUGCAGUAACUUCGAGGUUGGUUCAUCUAAAUUAAUUUAUUUCUUUGUUUCUUAAAUAUUAUUUAGAUUCUUAUUAGAAUAUUAAGCCUUCUUGGACUGUAAAAUACUGGCACUUCCCAAUUAUUGUAUUUUGUGCAGAUUUUCUUUAAAGAUAUAAAUAAAAUAAUGAUGAAAGAUGAACGGUAAUAUUUCCGAUAAUUGUCACAAUGUUUUUGUCAUAAUUAUUAAAUUAUAUUUAAUACUGAGUAACAUGAUGCUGUGGCUAUUUUUGUCGUUGGAGAAUGAAUUUUGAUGAUUUACUGUGUAACACUGCUUUUCGUUUCCCCUUCGCGAGAUAAGUGCAUAGCAACGUAAUAGCAAUUAUGAUGAUAAAUAGUAAUUAUAAUCAAUAUAUAAAGAUUGGCUAGUUUAUGCGAGUUAAAUCAAAUUAGAGCCAUGGAAGGCAAAGCUAAUCCGACUAAAUGUCUCAGAAAUUUACACACCCUGUGUCAAAAAUACUAAAAGCAUUAAGAAAAAUUUCGCACAAUAAACACGUACAUGGGUGUGUAAAGUUCAUGGUUUGGUGGAUGAUAGUGCACACAAUAUUGAAAAUCUUGAGAUGAAGACAAAGAUAAAAAUUAAAGAAAAAACAUGAAACCAGAAACCAAAAUUACGGCAGAAUUUGGAGACUGAAUUGUACUACUAAAUAAGAUAACAUAACUUUGUUGUGUAUAUUUAUUGAAAAGUGCUAGAGUGAACAAAUAGUAAUUGUGCAUCGACAAAUAUUUGCACAAAACAUUUUCUAGUAUCGUUUAGAUGUGUUGCAUGGGAGGAAUUGUUUUUGAAUAAAGAAAGAAUUACACAAAACUCGCAAUGCUUGUUCCAUUUUACUACUACAGUGUCCUCGCAAUGCUUGUUCCAUUUUAGGAACAUUUCGGUGAGGCACCCUUCAGGUUCCACAGCCAAACUCUUACAUCAACGAAGAUAUUAUUUGCCCUUAAUUCUAACAUAGGAAGUAAAUAAUGAAAUAGUUUGUAAAAGUUCUAGAACUUUCUAUUUUUCAUUCUAAGUAAAAAAAAAAAAAAAAAAUUGUCCAUGUCUGUUAAAUAAAAAAAAAGUGGUUUACAUGAUUAAUUUAAACCACUGUGUGUUGGGAAGAGAAACAGGUACUUCUUAAAUACAGAGGUCCCUACAAACUAACCCUAUGAGACUUCUGUAGUACCGAGAAAUAUGUUUUGCCAUGGGCUUUAAAAAAAAUGAAUUAUUUAGAUUCAGGUCAGCCUUGAUUGAGCUUAUCUAUGACUAAGGCAUUCCAGCUGUGAUUAAUUUCUUUUAGAAGUGUCUAGAAUUACAUUGUCUAAUGUUCCUUUUGCUUUUAAAGAUGAUUGAACAUGAUUUUGUUGCUAUUAUGGUGCAAAGCAUUCCCUCAUGGUAUUGGAUGGCUGUAAUUGAUGUUGAGGAAGGCAAGAAAAAAUAGUAGGAGACAGUAAAAUGAGAAUGUGGUUGGUCAACAGACUAAAUAAAUCAUAUUUAUAUGUAUAUUUGUCAUAUAUGCAUACUCAAGUAUGGCUGUGUGGUAAGAAGUUUGUUUCCCAACCAUAUGGUUCUGGGUUCAAUCCCUGUCUUCGUAGUAACAUAGACCCUCCAGUGAUGACUAGUCCUUCCUCACAGCCCCGACCCGAACACUAACGAUAGCAGCUGCUAGCCCAAACCCUUAGCGACGUCCUCACACGUCUUGUCACCUGCACGACCCACGUUGGAAAAGGGCAAUUUCCGCUCCCUGCGCACGCCAGACAGCUGACCCCUUCCGCUUGCCCCAGCUUCCGGUCAACGCACCCGGCUGCUGACGUCCAGCUGCUGACGUCAUCCCACAAUCCCAUUGUGUGGUACCUUGGCCAAGAGUCUUUUACUAUAUCCUCAGGCUGACCAAAACCUUGUGAAUAAAUUUGGUAGACAGAAUCUCAAAGAAGCCCAUGUGUGUAUGUUACUGUUUCCUUAUCUUGACAGUGUGUGAUAGUUGUAAACUAGUGUCAUUGUCAUGCAAGUGGUGUCCUUCAUUUUCAAUAUUCUGUGAAAACAUGUUUGGUCAUGGAGAAAUAUUAACUUAUUUGAAAACCAAUGAGGGUUUGCAACAGGAAGGGCCUCUAGCCAUAAAAAUAUUCACCUCUACAAUUUUUGUUUGAUCCAUGCAUGUAUGAAAAAGUGGAUGUUAAAAUGGUGAGGAGGAGGGAUUCUUUUACUCUCCACAAGGAACUCUUCUUUGAUUAGAUAAGGAAGUUAUAUUUUUCUACAAGUUCAUGAAGCUAUUGAAAUCUCAGGGGUUAUUUCAUGGAUCUCUAUGUCCAGCAAAGAAAACAUUUCUUUUAUCUUCUAAUUUGUUUCAUAUGGCAAUUGAGUAUACUGUCCUUCACAACCCAUCUGUUUCAUCCCUUUAAAUGAAUACUGAUACUUUACUAGCACUCCCUGAUCAUCAGGAAUUUCUUGCAUAUAGGAUGCUGCAUUUAUUUACUGGCUUGUUCCUGUUUUCAACUAAAAAUGUUUUUAAAACCCCAAGUUUUAUAUACCACUUUGGUCCACAGCAUUCUUUACCAUAUUCAGCUUCUCUCUUAGAGCCUUCUUCACUGUUUCCUCUUUAACCCCCCACACCUUCAGCUUUGGUUGUUACAUCAUCUGAAUUCUCUGUCCACCUUUUAUCUUCUGGCCAUAGACAACAAAACGGUGCUGUUCAAUAAUACAGUCAGUCUGGACAGAAUUUGAAUUCGGAAUACAAAGGGACAUAACUAAAUAAAUGAGGUGUUUUUUUCCAUCUCAACAAAUUCUGUCAUCUACCAUCCAUGAAUUGUUAAUAUAUUUAUAAUUCUGCAAACCAUUUACCCCAUCUUCAGACAGAUAUGUUUACACCAUGUUAAAUUUAGCUUGAUCCCCAAUUGUUGUCAAGUGUCUUAUUCUUGGAUUUGUAUAUAAUCCAAAGCUAAAUAUGAAUUUUGAACAUUUAUUUCUACAUUAAAGGUAAUAUAGCUUUCUUAUGCUCUCCACUGGGCCUGUAAGUAUAAAUUUUGUAAAUAUAUUCUCUAAAAGUAAGGUUAGUAGUUUGAAAUAUUGUUACCUUUACUAAAGUUUAUGACCCCUUCUCAACAAUUUUAUAGUUUCUAUACAUAUUCACUGACUUGCUAGAAAUAGCAACUGAAUCACUCAAGUCACAUCCUAUCAUUUUGAAUAAAGAAAACAUAAUAGAAAAUAUGAUAUUUUAUACACAUUAAAAAUAAAUAAUCAUGACUAGAACACAUAUGAUCAUAGGCCUGCCUGAUCAGAGCUGACCUGAGGCUAAACAAUAACAUCAAGAAUAUAUGGUUGUAAGUAACAAAAGAACAGUGAUUUUAUAUUAUGACACACUUCUAAUGGUUACUCUAGAGGUGAUAUAUCUUAUCUCUGGAUAAUUACUACAAAAAGGAAGAAAAAACGAAAUAUUCAAAUUAUUAUCAAUAAUCAAUCUUUUUAAUGAUUUGCAAUAAAUUUUGACAAUACUUGAAUUAAUAUUUUAAUUUUUCCUGUAAAAUCUACAUCUUUACCUAGUCCCACUUGCAACUUGUUCAAACCUCAUUGAUAUAUUAAUUUGUUGACAAUAUGUCAAUUUCAGAUCAAUUCAGUUCUAAUAGUAAUUUCACUAGCUCCCUGUUGUACAAAAUGUAUUGAUUUUUAACCUACACUGUAUGUGUAGACAGACAGACAGUUUGUCUUUAUAUACAAUUUAUGUACCAGUGCAUUGUUAAUAGUCUUUCAUUUCAGUCGUGGGCUGUGUUACAGGAUAUAUCUAUUGAUUCUUAAUCAACACUAUGUGUAGACAGAUGGAAACAGCUUGUCUUUAUCUUCAUUUAAUGUUCAUUGUCCAUGCUAGCAUGGGUUGGAUGGUAUGGCCAGGGUUGGUACGCUGGGAGCCUGUACCAGAUUCCAAUCUGAUUUGGCAUAGUUUCCACAGCUUGAUGUCCUUCCUAACACCAACUACUUUACAGAGUGUACUGGAUGCUUUUACAUGGCACCGCAUGGGCAAUUUUACAUGAUGCCACAUGGAUGUUUUUAUGUGAUGCUGUGCUGGCAAUUUUACGUGUCACUGCACUGGUGCUUUUACAUGGCACAACCAUGGGUACUUUACACAACCAAAAGGAUCAAUCUUAACACUUCUGCUGUGAGGUGCAGGUCAUCUUGAGUACAGCCAGGCAACAGAUGUCUUGGUCCUUUGUCAUCUUGCCUGAAAGAUUCAGCUUCCUGAGGUCAUUCUUCAGUACUUUGUCCCAUGUCUUCCUGGAUCUCCCACUUCUAAGUGUUCCCUCCACUUUGAGAGAUUGGCACUUUUUUAUGGAACUGUCAGCAUCCAUCAGCAUCACCUGACCAAACCAACGCAGUCUCCUCUCUUGCUUCCCUGGGCAUGGAUUCACUGAAGCUCCGGCGUCUGGCGACGGACUUGGUAAACACCCACAAAGUUAUCAACCACCUCACCAACAACAACACUGAACACCUUUUUGAUCUCCAUGUGUCUAACACACGUGGACAUGCCUACAAAGUCAGAAAACAACACAGCUCCCAUGACUUUCGGAAACAUUUUUUCACGCUCAGAGUUACUGAAGCUUGGAAUAAACUGCCUGCGUCAGUUGUUGACUGCCAUGACACUGCAUCCUCUAAGGCCCUCAUGCUUUCCGAAAUCCGCCGAAACUACACCUGAUUAUAUGUACACUUUAGAUGAGUUGUAGUGCACCUGAGCACUGUACACAAUUAUUAUUAUUAUUAUUAUUAUUAUACAGCAAGAAAUUCCUCUUAUGCCUAACUUCUCUCUCAGAACACCGGCACUCUGUCAAACACAUACACUUACAUUACACAUCCAGCAUCCUCUAUGAAGAUACUGGUUAUAAACUCGCUGUUACAAAGAGCUUAAAUCAGAUAGACAAGUUGGCAUAUAUCAUCCAUUCUCAGCAGCUAGUUUGAUUUAUAAAUUACUAGUAUGCUGUGUUUCACAAAUCCAAUUGUAUGUAAAAUAACAAGAUAUUUGUUUACAUCUGUCCAUACAGUAUUGGCUAAAAGCUAUAGAUACAUUUUAGUGUCAUAUCUAUACAUAGAUAUGGCAUUAGAACAAAACAUUGGUAAAGCAAGAGUAAUUUAUUAAUUGAAAUACCUCCUAUGUAUGCAUAUCAGCAAGGGAGUUUGUUUAGUUGUUACUCAUACACUUGGAAACAACAUGCACAAAGAUAGUUUUAAAACAUUUUGUCAGGUGAUUCACUGUUUCUAUGAAUACCAAUGCUGAUUUUUUUUUUUUUAAUGAUUGAAAAUACUGUAUAUGCAUUUGAUCAUUCUUCAAAAUUUCACUUUGAUCUGAAACUGGGAUGUAAGUUUGGAAUUGUAAGGAAUAUAAUUAUAGAAACCAAUUCUUCUCAGACUUCACUGCAUUUCAUAUUUUACUAUUUGACUGAUAUUCUUUUGUUGUUUCAAAAUAUUUUAUUCAUGAUAUCAUAUUUACAAUUAAUUUCAUUGAAGAAAUUUAAAACUUUGAUGUUUUUUUUUCCCCUAUCUUAUUUUCAGUGAAAAAGAUUGCUGAAAUUAUGUUUGUGUCACAUGACAAUGAAAUUCCGCCAACGAAUUGCGUGGGUCACUAUUGUUGUCUACCUCAGCAUUACCUGUGCUUUGACCUAUUAUGUAUUUGAAAUUAAUGAGAAAUAUACUAAAUAUGCCUUUGAUCAUUCUUCAAAAUUCCACUUGGAUCCGAAACUGGGCCGUAAAGUUGGAAUUGCAAAGAAUACAAUCAUGGAGACCAAUUCUUCUGAAACUUCAGUGCUGCACCGCAUGUUUUCCCACUUGAGCGAUAUUCCUUUGUUGAUCUGGAUUAUUCUAUUUAUGAUACCAUAUUUUCAAGUCUUCUUCUUACUAUUGGCAUGUACCAAACCCGAUCCAAGACUAAGCUUGGCCUUGCUCUGGCCAAACAUCCUGUAUUUAAAAUGGAAACAACAUUGUACAGUUACUAUUUUCAGAAAACCAAGCAUUAAUGGUGACUGCAAUAGUAAUGUAUCAAAUAACCAUGUGAUUUUUGACACGUAAUAUUUCUUAUUCAGCAUAUUUUUUUGCAAAAGAACUUUUUCUUUUCAAUUACUAUAAUUAUUUUUAAAUGUAUUUUUAUGUGAGUCUAAUUAGGUGCUAAUCAUGCAUUCAUUGAAGGAAUUAUAUAAUUUGGUUAAUCUAAUAUUUAAAAAAAUUUUUAUAGUCUAUCCAUAGAUUAUGAUGAUGUGUUCAUAUACCAACAGUCAGCAUAAUGAACAGACAUGUGAAUAUUGUUGAUACGACCUUGAACAAGUCUAUCGAUAGUUGAUAUAGUGUGGAUUUAAUCUUGGACAAGUCUUGCUGCUAAUGAUAUAACAGUGACUCAGACUUUCAGUGGACGAGAUGGUCGUGCCCAGGUCUUUAAGUUGGGUGAUAAUGUCUUGAUAACUUCUACCACGUGAUGAAAUAAUGAUUAUUUAAUUUUGACAAAGUUUCACAAUGACUGUUUAAGUUUUGAUAAAAUUUAACUGUGGAUAGUGACAAUACAUACCGUGGCUAUUUUCAGCUGAAAAUAAAUUGCUGAGAAUAUUUCUCUCUAAAACUGAUUUGUUAACUUCUAAAUACAUAAAAAAUAUGUUGUGAAUCCAGUUGGUGAAGGAUUUCCUCAUAAUUAACAUCAGGACCAGUAUUAAUGGGAAAUGUAAAGAUCCAAAUGGGUUUUUUUUUUUUUUUGAAUUAGCGAAACAAGUAAGUAAAUGCUUCACAAUCAUUCAGUCCUUGUAUAUUUUUGAUAUUUUUUAAAAAAUGAUCUUUGAAUUUCCAUGUUUUGAACACUGGAAUUACUGAUAGUGCAAAAAUAAAAAUAAAAUUUCAAAUUUUACAUUAUAUUCUUGCUUCCUUUUAUUGACAAUAUAUAUAACAUAUCAUCUUGUGAAAAUAUAAUUUCCUACAAUUUCUACUGUGUUGGAUUUUAUACAAGAGAACUAUAUUCUGACUACAUUUAGUCUUAACAUCAACUACUCCUCCCUGUAACAACUUGAGGGUGUGUCCCAACAUAUCUUCUUCAUCAUCUUUUCUCCCUCUUUCUCCUUUUCCAGUUGAGAGAGCCAUGUAUUUCCUCUGCUGCAAGACACCUGUUUCUAUCACUUUUUUUAUCCCUUAACCUUUCUUCACUAGGUGCAAAGCCACCUCUUUCAAUGCUAUUUCUUCAGUUGAGGGGUUUUGUCUUGCAAGUUACAUGGUAAGUUACAUGUGCUGGUGGCACAUAAAAAGCACCCAGUACACUCUAUAGAGUGGUUGGCAUUAGGAAGGGUAUCCAGAUAUAUAAACCAUCCAAAGCACACAAUAGAGCUUGGCACAGUCCUCUGGGUCACAAGUUUCUGUCAAAUUAUCCAACCCAUGUCACCAGGAAAUGUGGAUGUUGAAUGAGGUUGAUGAUGACUGUAUUAUGUCAUGUAUAGGUUGCAUGAUUUAUUUGUCUUGAAGCACUCACUUUUUUGUUUCGGAAAUUCAACAAAGCAAACUCAGAUUUUUACAUUCCUCAUUAAUGUUAGUCUCAGUUUUAAUUACACUAUAUUCCUCCAGUCGUGUGUGUGUGUGUGUAUAUAUAUAUAUAUAUAUAUAUAUAUCAAGUAGAUUUUAUCCUAUUUUUGAAUAUAUAUAUACAGUGAAGGUGCAUAGCCUAGUGAUUGCUAGAUCAUCGGUUCAAUUUCCAAGCCAGGCAGUGUGUUGUGUUCUAGAGCAAAACACUUCAUUUCAUGUUGCUUCAAUCAGUGGGUAAUGUUGGCCUGCUCACCUAGCUAGCUGGGUCUAAAACAUCAUUUAAAGUCUAAAACAAUGCAGAGCAUGUUGUAAUCAGUAAUGUGUAACAACAUCUGAUAGUCUGGUCAGUCAUGUGAUCACAUGAUAUAUAUCAAAACAAGAGAUUGGAAAAUUUUUUGUAUUAUUUCCAAUCUCCCAUUUGCAGAAAAUAUUUCCCAGUAUUUUCAAUUCUUAUGCAUACCUCACACAAAUAUAACAUUUAUAUAUGGAUUUGUAAUACUGAGAUAGCAGAUGUGCUUCAAGAAGAAACAGCUGUGAUUUUAACCCUCUCUACAUAAUAUAUAUAUAUAUAUAUAUGUGUGUGUGUGUGUGUAUGUGUUUUGAUUUUACAUAACUAUUUAAAAUCAGCUCCUUGUAUAUGUUCAUUCAUAUCUAAGUACAUUUGCUCUGGUUUUGAAUAAGGCAACAAAUUUCCUUGAAGCAUCCACAUAAUAAUGGUGUUUAUUUCUUGGCUUCUGGCUUAAAAAAAUACCCAAUUUAUUGCUUUAACUAAUGCAUAGCAUUGCAGUUUUUAAAGCAACAUCUGAAAUCCAUCUACAAAAUAUUUUUCUGGAGUUCAGAUGUAAAUAAACUUUUUUCAGAGAUACCAGUAUUUCAGAUUAACAUUAGGGUACAUAUAUACAUAUAUAACAUAUGCUUAUACUGU